rnacentral:lncRNA from 1 species
AGAGCAGAGAGAACUCGGGAUAUUUCAAAAGCAGCAGAAAGCAGUUACUUUAUCGGGGAAUACCAGAAGGGGAGAUGAGAAGGCCAUUCAAUCAGUUCUGCCAGAAGACCAGACCGGCUAUGUGAAAACUACAAGCUUUUGUUCCUUUUGACUACAGCUGAGAUAGGACUUUGAGGCUUUGGAUUGCGUGUCCUUCUGCUUGUGUCUGGUCUCUAUAAUCAAUUUUAAUUACAGGAAAGGGAAG